GUCUUUUUUUUCUUUUUUCUUUUCUUUUCUUUUUCUUUUUCUUUUUUCUUUUUUUCUUUUCUUUUCUUUUCUUUUCUUUUUUUUAGGAAGAAGUAGAGGGAGAUGGAGAGAGAGAAUCUUAAGUAGGCUCCAUGCCCAGCAUGGAGGUCAAGCCCACCUGAGACCCUGACCUGAGCUGAAAGCAAGAGUGGGACCCUUAACUGACUGAACCACCCAGGCAUCCCCAAAAUGUGUCUUCUAAAGCCAAGUGAAAUAAUUGGAAAUACUGCAUAAAUAUAUGAUACCAAAGAUCUUUCCAAAGAGAGAGGAUAUAUUUAAAAUGCUGUCAGUAUGGUGCACAUGUGUCUGUUCUAAUGCAACUUCCCCUGCUUUGGUAUUAUUUGAUACACUCGGAAAAAAUGUUAGCAAACACCUAUAGUCAUGAUUCUUUUACCUGGUACAGUGACCCGAACCUUCAUUCCCGAAGCUUCUCAGUAGGAGUCUUGCCUGCACUGGAUUUUUGCAGUUUUCCAUCCCUUUGUGUUUGGAACAGUGGGCAUCAUAAUUUAUUGCAGCUUGCAGUCCUCCUCAUCGUGGGCAAUACUCUUACCACGUCAAAGCCCUGGCAACGUCCGGUUGUACAAUCAGCCACGACAAACGACAGGAGGGGAUCUGAGCGCCCUCUACCCACAAGACACACGACUGGAGAAAAGAGUGCCCGACUGACAAGUCAACGCCCGUCUGUGACUGAUAAAGCUCGGCAGGGAUGUGAGUGACAGGACCUUCCCUGCAACACCACUCAGGCUGUAUGACAGUCUAGAAAGGAGGGGAGCCCUACGACCUCUGCCUUCUGCACAUAUAUGCACCCAGGCACAUCCAUGGAGCUAUUCUCCAUCUACGGAGUCUCCACGAAGAAUCCUCCUCCACCACGGACGACCUGCCCCAACAAAGUGCCAUCCUCAUCCCAAGCGCAUGUUUCUGCUUUUCCCAAACCAUAGCUUGUGAGAUAUUCUAAAGGCUGGUCUUGUUCCUUGCAGGGAACACCCAGGCACUCCAGUCUGUGACUAUAAAAUAAAGUUAAAC
rnacentral:lncRNA from 1 species